ensembl:lncRNA uncharacterized LOC103662057
CCCCCCCCGCCCAAGCUUCCAGAGGGCCUGGCCAGCCCACUGAUCACAGUGACUGGCUUGGGCAAAUGCAUGAGCCAGGCUAGGUCAAACAACAUCAGUCUUGGAUCUGUGCUCUAAGUAACAGGAAGCAGACUUUUCCUUUUCCCUGGGGUUGCUAUGCUGGCCAGCCGGAGCCUUGGGUGCUGGAGGGCAUCUUUAUACCACAUGUGGAGAGCCUGCCUGAGAACCAAACCAAAAGAUGGAUGCAGAACGGAGAGAAGGAAAGGGAUGUGUUUCUGACAUCACAGUUCAGGCCUGCGGAUCCAGCCAUCCCCAAAGCUGGGACCUCUUCAGGACUUGUUUUAGGGGCCAAUAAACCACCUCCCUUGCUUAAACCAGUUGCACUUGGGUUUCGGUUUCUUGCAAAUCAAGUUGUCAUCUGUGCUUCGACCCAGCACUCAGAUGCACCACCCCCACCCCUCCAGGGGCUUUCCGAGAGACCCGGAUAUUGGGGUUGGCCCGCAACUGCACUGCGCCUGUGUCUGCCCCCCACCCUCCAGACCUAGGGAGGAAGCAAACACCAAGCCCCUGGUUCUGGGGCUCCAGGGAAGGCUCAGUUUGAGAAGCACUGCCCGCUCCGUCCAGUCCCUGGGCGGUUACGGAGAUGGCAACCCGAACAAAGCUUUCGAGCAGAGUCCUGGCAUCCUGGCGUGGUUGGGCCCUGCGUGUUUGGCUACUGCUCUCUGUCUCUGGUGCCUCAGAGGUCUCCCAGCCCUCUCUGUUCCAGCCUCAGUCUUCUGUGGUGAGUGGACAAGGCAAUCCACAGAUCUGGUGUGUGGUGCAGGGCAGCCCUGCCACGGCUCAUGUCUUGUCUUGGUACCAGCAGCUGACAGAGAAGGGAUUCCCCCAACCUAUGGUUUGGGUGUGAAUCCUCGUUUCCUGGCAGAGAUGGACCCAGCCAAGAAUGCCGCACUCCUUACCGUGGGCAAUGCCAGCCCAGCUGAUGAGGGCACCUACUACUGUGCCCUGUGGUUUUCAGGCCAGUAUGUCUUUGGAGAAGGUACCCGUCUGCUCUAUCAGGCUAAGAUGCAAUCCCCAGCUUUCCAGCCACCUGAGCUGAGCCUGUUCGUCCCAGCCUCUGGCCCUCCCUUCCAUGUACUUUGUGUGGCCCUAGGACACAACCCUGACCCUCUGAGGGUCUCCUGGGUCCUGAAUGGCCAGUAUCAGGAGGAAGAGGACUCCACUGGAGGAGCUGGGGAUCCUGUGGUCAGCUGGCUGCAGCUGAGUCAGGAGGUGGCAGGAAUGUCUGUGACUUGCCGAGGCUUGCACCAGACUGGAGUCUCAGAAGUUGUGCUGCCCCUGCCCUGCAGCCAAGGGUGUAGAAGAAGGCUAGAACCGGAGAACUGGAAUGAGACUCAUGAGAAGAGUGGACACACUCAUCUAGUGGAGUUGGAACAGACCCUCACUGCUGCCGCCUACUGCUACCUGGGACUGCUGGGUGCAGCUCUGAUCUAUGGCCUGAUUUUGGCUGCCCUCUGGAGGAUUCGCUGCCAUUGGGCCCACCCUAUGGAGCCACUCACCCGAGAUGGUCAAGGAGCAGCCCUUGGUUUCAGGAUGCAGGUGGGCAGAAAGGGCCCUCCUGCCAGGGCCCCAGUGCGCAAGGGGCAGAGCCACAAUGGAUUCCACAUCCUCCGAGGGGCUGCCCGUGCACCAGACCCUCCCUCCUUGCUCCAGCCAGCUUCCUCCUAGUCCGCUGCCUUUCAUUAUCUCGCGGGUCCCCCUUUUCCUCCCAGACUGUCCAAAUUUCUUCCUAAAUACAGGGAAUUUGAGAAGCUACUGCUGUGCUGUUGGUUG